rnacentral:rRNA from 1 species
GAUGAACGCUGGCGGCGUGCUUAACACAUGCAAGUCGAACGGAAAGGCCCAAGCUUGCUUGGGUACUCGAGUGGCGAACGGGUGAGUAACACGUGGGUGAUCUGCCCUGCACUUCGGGAUAAGCCUGGGAAACUGGGUCUAAUACCGGAUAGGACGAUGGUUUGGAUGCCAUUGUGGAAAGUUUUUUCGGUGUGGGAUGAGCUCGCGGCCUAUCAGCUUGUUGGUGGGGUAAUGGCCUACCAAGGCGUCGACGGGUAGCCGGCCUGAGAGGGUGUACGGCCACAUUGGGACUGAGAUACGGCCCAGACUCCUACGGGAGGCAGCAGUGGGGAAUAUUGCACAAUGGGCGCAAGCAUGAUGCAGCGACGCCGCGUGGGGGAUGACGGCCUUCGGGUUGUAAACUCCUUUCGCUAGGGACGAAGCGUUUUUGUGACGGUACCUGGAGAAGAAGCACCGGCUAACUACGUG